CCUACGGGAGGCAGCAGCGGGGAAUAUUGGACAAUGGGGGCAACCCUGAUCCAGCAAUGCCGCGUGUGUGAUGAAGGCCCUAGGGUUGUAAAGCACUUUCACUGGUGAAGAUGAUGACGGUAACCAGAGAAGAAGCCCCGGCUAACUUCGUGCCAGCAGCCGCGGUAAUACGAAGGGGGCGAGCGUUGUUCGGAAUUACUGGGCGUAAAGGGCGCGUAGGCGGCUCUUUAAGUUAGGCGUGAAAGCCCCGGGCUCAACCUGGGAACUGCGCUUAAGACUGGAGAGCUAGAAAACGGAAGAGGGUAGUGGAAUUCCCAGUGUAGAGGUGAAAUUCGUAGAUAUUGGGAAGAACACCAGUGGCGAAAGCGGCUACCUGGUCCGGAUUUGACGCUGAGGCGCGAAAGCGUGGGGAGCAAACAGGAUUAGAUACCCUGGUAGUCCACGCCGUAAACGAUGUCUGCUAGAUGUCGGGGGGUUACCCCUCGGUGUCGCCGCUAACGCAUUAAGCAGACCGCCUGGGAAGUACGGUCGCAAGAUUAAAACUCAAAUGAAUUGACGG
rnacentral:rRNA from 1 species